AGCAACCAAACUAGCAAAAUGGAAAAGUGACCUUUAAUUUCAGGGUAUAGCCUAGGCCUAACUGUAAUCUUCAACGCAGAAUAGAAUUCAGCACACUGUUUCAAUAAGGCAAUGAGAGCAGAACAAAAUGAGGCUCAUAAACAUGCAUGGUCUCAGUACAGCUAGCCACCAAAAUAUUUAUCUGGAGAAUAGUUAAGAUAAGGGUUCCUCUCUGUGUGCAUCAAAGCAACACAGACGUCAAGCAGAUGCUCACCCAAGACCAUGCACGCCGCAGGAGUCCUGAAAUAGACAAGCCAUGCAGAGAGAGGAGCUGGCACAGUCUCUGGGCUGCUGCUGCCCGGUGCCAGUUAGCAGACAACAAAUGGUGACUGGGUGACUCACUACUGGAUCUGUCAAGUAAGAAGCGCCAUCCCUGCUGUGAAGUUUGGUGGUGGCAGCAAUAUGCUGUGGAGAUGCUUGUCAUUAGCAAGUCACUGGCCAUCUUGUUCCAUCUGAUGGAAGAAUGGAUGGAGCGAAACACAGAAACGUACUGACAGUGAACUGAAGAACCUGAAGCAUGGGAGCAAGUUUUCCCUUCAGCAAGACAAUGACCCAAACACCAGGCCAAAUCCACAGUCAAAUGGCUCAAAAAAAAUAAAAAAAUAGAUUACAGUUCUACAGUGGCCCA